AAUUGUCCCAAAUAUCUCCUUCAUAUUGAACGAGACUGCAGCUGGAUGCUUUGUUCAGGAUCGAUCCUGUGGCGAAAGGCAUUCAGCGUCUCGCAGAUCAAGGCAGAGAGAAAGGGGGAAAACAUUUUGUCAAUACCUUAAUAAUUGAGCUAGAGAAUGACAAGAUGGACAAGAUGCCGCUCUAUUCUGUAGGAAAAAACACUUUGAGAAACCACCAUCUCGGGAAAUUCAGCGCCGACUACCCAGGAGUUCCUGCCGUCUACAUGCAUCAGAAGUUGUUUUGUUAAUCGAAAUAAAGGGCGGAUAGCAUGAUCCAAGGCACGGAGCGGCUCACCAUUUCCUCGCAUUACAUGACGGCCUUACCAGCGAGGAGGAAUAUGCAUGAAUACAUUAAAAGGUAAUGAAGAAGCUGUCAGGAGAGGGUCGUUCAGGGCAGAGCUUCAGAGCAUUACGUGAUGGACUUGUCAGCUCGGCACGAGAAGCAAAGAGGGGUGGAGUUCAACAGCGUGGACAACAGCAUCUCACUGUUCAAUGUUUUGUAUUUUCACUGCUAAAUUAAACAAUAUGAAAUAUGAA